CGGGGUAGUCUCAGAUGUAGGAACAGAGGUUGGACUGGUUGUAGGAGCUGAGGUUGCGCUGCUUGUGUGCACAGAGGUUGAGCUCAUUGUAGGAACUGAGGUUGUGCUGCUUGUCUGCACAGGGGUUGCACUGGUUGUUGGAGCCGAGGUGGUGCUGCUUGUGUGCACAGGGGUUGCACUGGUUGUAGGAGCUGAGGUUGCACUGCUUGUCUGCACAGAGAUUGUACUGGUUGUAGGAGCUGAGGUUGCACUGCUUGUGUGCACAGGGGUUACACUGGUAGUAGGAGUCGAGGUGGUGCUGCUUGUCUGCACAGAGGUUGAGCUCGUUGUAGGAGCUGAGGUUGUGCUGUUUGUCUGCACAGAGGUUGAGCUCGUUGUAGGAACUGAGGUGGUGCUGCUUGUGUGCACAGGGGUUGCACUGGUAGUAGGAGCCGAGGUGGUGCUGCUUGUCUGCACAGAGAUUAUACUGGUUGUUGGAGCCGAGGUUGCACUGCUUGUCUGCACAGAGAUUAUACUGGUUGUAGGAGCUGAGGUUGCACUGCUUGUGUGCACAGGGGUUGCACUGGUUGUAGGAGUCGAGGUGGUGCUGCUUGUCUGCACAGAGGUUGGACUGGUUGUCGGAGCUGAGGUUGUGCUGCUUGUCUGCACAGAGAUUGUACUGGUUGUAGGAGCUGAGGUUGCACCGCUUGUGUGCACAGGGGUUGCACUGGUUGUAGGAGUCGAGGUGGUGCUGCUUGUCUGCACAGAGGUUGAGCUCGUUGUAGGAACUGAGGUGGUGCUGCUUGUCUGCACAGGGGUUGCACUGGAUGUGGCCUCAUGGAAGGUGGUCCCUGUGUGCACAGUGACACUCACACUGGAGGUGCUGGUUACUGUGACAGUCGGGGGAGGGCAGUGUUCUCGGGGCUCGCAGCACAGCACUCUGAUCUGGUAGUUGAGGCACAGCCUGGUCUUGCCCUUCUGGUCCUGGUUCCGACACAGCAGGCCCACGUCCUGGUGGCACUGUACCAGCUGGCCCAGCUCGUGGAUGCUGACCCCGGGGUGGUUCUCGGCUCGGCACUCCACUUUGCUGAUGGAUUCAGGUCGGUGGCAGAUGCUGUCUCCAUUCCUCAUGAUGUUGCCGAAGGUUUCAUUGUCUCCCCCGUGGGGCCCGG
ensembl:lncRNA